rnacentral:misc_RNA from 1 species
UCCGAGUUGACCCCGGCAGUCUCCCAUGAGUCCCCGGCAUUACCCGCUGGCAACAUGGAACGAGGGUUGCGCUCGUUGCGGGACUUAACCCAACAUCUCACGGCACGAGCUGACGACGGCCAUGCAGCACCUGUGUCCUGGCUCUCUUUCGAGCACUCCCACAUCUCUGCGGGAUUCCAGGCAUGUCAAGGGUAGGUAAGGUUUUUCGCGUUGCAUCGAAUUAAACCACAUCAUCCACCGCUUGUGCGGGUCCCCGUCAAUUCCUUUGAGUUUUAACCUUGCGGCCGUACUCCCCAGGCGGUCAACUUCACGCGUUAGCUUCGUUACCAAGGAAUUGCUUCCCCGACAACCAGUUGACAUAGUUUAGGGCGUGGACUAC